GAUGAACGCUGGCGGCGUGCCUAAUACAUGCAAGUCGAGCGAACAGAUAAGGAGCUUGCUCCUUUGAAGUUAGCGGCGGACGGGUGAGUAACACGUGGGUAACCUACCUAUAAGACUGGGAUAACUUCGGGAAACCGGAGCUAAUACCGGAUAACAUUUAGAACCGCAUGGUUCUAAAGUGAAAGAUGGUUUUGCUAUCACUUAUAGAUGGACCCGCGCCGUAUUAGCUAGUUGGUAAGGUAACGGCUUACCAAGGCGACGAUACGUAGCCGACCUGAGAGGGUGAUCGGCCACACUGGAACUGAGACACGGUCCAGACUCCUACGGGAGGCAGCAGUAGGGAAUCUUCCGCAAUGGGCGAAAGCCUGACGGAGCAACGCCGCGUGAGUGAUGAAGGGUUUCGGCUCGUAAAACUCUGUUAUUAGGGAAGAACAAAUGUGUAAGUAACUGUGCACAUCUUGACGGUACCUAAUCAGAAAGCCACGGCUAACUACGUGCCCGCAGCCCCGGUAAUUACGUAGGGGGCAAGCGUUAUCCGGAAUUAUUGGGCGUAAAGCGCGCGUAGGCGGUUUCUUAAGUCUGAUGUGAAAGCCCACGGCUCAACCUUGGAGGGUCAUUGGAAACUGGGAAACUUGAGUGCAGAAGAGGAAAGUGGAAUUCCAUGUGUAGCGGUGAAAUGCGCAGAGAUAUGGAGGAACACCAGUGGCGAAGGCGACUUUCUGGUCUGUAACUGACGCUGAUGUGCGAAAGCGUGGGGAUCAAACAGGAUUAGAUACCCUGGUAGUCCACGCCGUAAACGAUGAGUGCUAAGUGUUAGGGGGUUUCCGCCCCUUAGUGCUGCAGCUAACGCAUUAAGCACUCCGCCUGGGGAGUACGACCGCAAGGUUGAAACUCAAAGGAAUUGACGGGGACCCGCACAAGCGGUGGAGCAUGUGGUUUAAUUCGAAGCAACGCGAAGAACCUUACCAAAUCUUGACAUCCUUUGAAAACUCUAGAGAUAGAGCCUUCCCCUUCGGGGGACAAAGUGACAGGUGGUGCAUGGUUGUCGUCAGCUCGUGUCGUGAGAUGUUGGGUUAAGUCCCGCAACGAGCGCAACCCUUAAGCUUAGUUGCCAUCAUUAAGUUGGGCACUCUAGGUUGACUGCCGGUGACAAACCGGAGGAAGGUGGGGAUGACGUCAAAUCAUCAUGCCCCUUAUGAUUUGGGCUACACACGUGCUACAAUGGACAAUACAAAGGGCAGCUAAACCGCGAGGUCAUGCAAAUCCCAUAAAGUUGUUCUCAGUUCGGAUUGUAGUCUGCAACUCGACUACAUGAAGCUGGAAUCGCUAGUAAUCGUAGAUCAGCAUGCUACGGUGAAUACGUUCCCGGGUCU
rnacentral:rRNA from 1 species